CUACGGGGCGCAGCAGUGGGGAAUAUUGCACAAUGGAGGAAACUCUGAUGCAGCAACGCCGCGUGGAGGAUGACACUUUUCGGAGCGUAAACUCCUUUUAUAUAGGAAGAUAAUGACGGUACUAUAUGAAUAAGCACCGGCUAACUCCGUGCCAGCAGCCGCGGUAAUACGGAGGGUGCAAGCGUUACUCGGAAUCACUGGGCGUAAAGAGCGUGUAGGCGGAUUAAUAAGUCAGAUGUGAAAGCCAAUGGCUCAACCAUUGAACUGCAUUUGAAACUGUUAAUCUAGAAUAUGGGAGAGGUAGAUGGAAUUUCUGGUGUAGGGGUAAAAUCCGUAGAGAUCAGAAGGAAUACCGAUUGCGAAGGCGAUCUACUGGAACAUUAUUGACGCUGAGACGCGAAAGCGUGGGGAGCAAACAGGAUUAGAUACCCCUGUAGUC
rnacentral:rRNA from 1 species